CUCGCGCCGGGGCGGGGCUUCCCCGCGGCGCUGCCGGGCGCAGCGGGAGCCGCGGGAGCGCGCACGGGGCCUGGCUGCUCUGUGAGCCGUACACGUUGGCGCCAUGGCUGCCUUUGGAAGGAGCCUGCAGCAGGACAUGGUUUCGGAGCUGCACGGCUUGGCUGCUGCGGGAGACGCGGCCGGGCUGAGGGCGCUGCUCAGGCGCUCCCCGUCGCUGGUCAACGCGGCCGCAGGGAACGGCUGGACGGCCCUCAUGUACGGCGCUAGAAAUGGACACCUCGAGGUUGUGCAGGUUCUCCUUCAGGAAGGGUGUGACAGAUCCGUCAUUAAUAAAUCAAGCCAGACAGCUCUGGACAUUGCUAAAUUUUGGGGGUACAAACACAUAGCUAAUUUGUUGGCUAAUGUGAAAGGUGAUAAGAAACCUAGUUUUUUGUCAAAUGAUGUAAAAGAAUAUGAAAAUUAUUUUGGCAUGACGCUUCUGGAUAGAAGGAGUGAUAAAAGAACAGAUUCCAAGUGGCUAAGUAAAAAACAAAGCCAUCCAGACACAGUAUACAUCCUCUUCUCAAAUCUAAGUCCCUUGGUUACUUUGGGUGGGGGAAGAGAGAGCUCAGAGCAACCAGAAGUAAAGCUUUGCAGGCUAUACCACAAGGAUGUGGAACAGUGCAUGAACCAAACUGAAGAAUGUACCUUGAUUUUUCUUGGAGUGGAACUUCAGUUUAAUGUGAACCUGACGGCUGCUUGCCAUGGAAGAGUUCUGCAAGAAGAUGAAGAAGAUGGGUUAGUUGCUUGGUUUGCUCUUAGCAUAGAUUCUGCUUCUGCUGAAAAAUUUAAACAGAAGCAUGAGGGUUGUUACUUUCUUCACCCGCCGAUGCCUGCACUACUGCAGUUACCUGAAAAAGAAGCUGGAGUAAUAGCCCAGGCGAGAUCUGUUCUAGCAUGGCACAACCGCUACCGAUUCUGCCCAACAUGUGGGAGUGCAACCAAGAUUGAAGAAGGGGGUUACAAGAAAACUUGCUUAAAAGAAGAUUGUCCCAGUCUGCAAGGAGUUCACAACACAUCAUAUCCAAGAGUUGAUCCUGUUGUGAUAAUGCAAGUUAUCCAUCCAGAUGGGAACCAUUGCCUUUUAGGUGAAACCAUAGAAGAUGCUGUUCGAAGAGAAGUAGAGGAGGAGGCUGGAGUCAAAGUUUCCCAUGUUCAGUACAUCUCUUGUCAGCCAUGGCCAAUGCCCUCCUCCCUAAUGAUUGGCUGCUUAGCUUUUGCAGUGUCCACAGAAAUUAAAGUUGACAAGAAUGAAAUAGAGGAUGCCCGCUGGUUCACUAGAGAACAGGUUGUGGAAGUUCUCAUUAAAGGAAACCAGCGUUCUUUCUUUGUACCACCAAAUCGAGCAAUUGCACACCAGUUGAUAAAACAUUGGAUUGGAAUGAAUGCUAAUCUUUAAUUCAAAUAAUUGAUUUCUUUAAGUUACUUCUUCUAUUGAAUGAUUAGUUAGGAAUAAAUUAGAACUGUUUGUCUUGUGAAUAUGUAACCAAGUGAUUUUUCUGAGCCUUUACAUUGGUUCCAGAGCUCACCUAUGCAAAUUUUUGUAGGUGUUUUCCAACCUGAAUUAGAUUUGGACAAAACCCAAUAAUAUCCCAAGCAAGCAAGGGAGCAACAAAUAAGUAGAAUUGCUGCCUUGUUCAGUAACAGGCUGUGCUUUUUGUUGUAGAAUGAAAUUAUUAUGCCUUUUGGUCUUACACUUUUUAUGUAUCAUUUGGUCUUCUCCCACUGGAAGAAGUCACAGCAUUACAAAGAGGGCUGUCUGACCUUGUCUGCUGUUUGAAUUCUCUACUUAUGUCCUCAUACUUGGCCUUAAUUAUUUCUUUCUCAUUUUUGCCUCUCUCCAUUCUUUAAAUUUGACUUGUCUCAGAAUCUACAUUCAGUGCUGAAAGCCUUACCAGCUAUAGCUGUUUUAAGGUUAAUGGCAUAUGUAAAUAGUGAAUAUGUGGUACUUCGUAUCUUUUACAUUAAUAACCUACCUUAUAUUAAUACUCUAAGCAGAGCAUUUACUCAUCUGUUCUGACUAGGCCUGCACUUAACCAAUUGCAUGUCAGCCUGAAUUUAAAGGUAUAAUGCAAUACUUAAUUUUUGAAAAGAAUGUUGGAGAACCAUCCCCGAAAGCCUAAAUAGUAGUGUUUUUAUAAGAUAAUAAUGUAGUUACUGAUGCUAGGCAAUAAGUAAUUUCAUUCUCUGAUAAUUAGAAAUGAAGUGACAGAGUAAUGGAGAAGGAAGAACAAGGCAUAUCUCAAAAUAUGCACAUAGUUCUUUAUGGAAAUAGAGAUGCUAAGAUUGUUACUGCUAUUAAGAAUCUUUCAGUUGAAAGAAAUAUAUUAACUGCAGCUAUAAGACUGGGAUAGCAAUAUGUUAAUUAAAAUAUUUAUUUAUGUGGUUUUAAUGCUCCAGUUCAGAUUUGUGCCUUAAUUUAUCAAGUUAUUUAAGAUAAUGUUGAUAUUUUAAAAAUAAAAGUAUACUGUUUUAUUAUUAAUUUCAUUAUGUAAUAGUUCACAUUCUGCAGUCAUUGCAGUGAUAUCAAAAGAAAUGUAAACAACCUGAGGAAAAUGCAAUUAUAGUGGCAAAUGUAAACUUACUGUUAUAUGAUUUGUUUAUUUGGAGUAAUUUAAAUUGUUUUUAACAGUGAAUGGUGUUAUAUUUUUUCCAAAAUUCUCAGCAACCUGGAAUCAGUAAAACUGUUGUACAAAUCCUGAUUGUUCUUUUUUUCCCCCAUCUAUGUUACACUGUGCUCAGCAAUUUUCAUUGUUUUUUGGUAAGGCCUUACCUAAGCAGUACUUUAAGCAUUCCUGACAGACUUACAGUAUUUGAUAUAUUAUGUUGCUUCAUUCUCUCCCUUAUUUCAGCCAUACCUACGAAUAAAGACCAUCAGGUUAUCUCUUGGGUUGUCUGGCAAGAAGAAGGAAACAAUACACUGCUUUCCUUAAAAAUUGCUUUUACAGAGAAGGCAAGUUGUGGAAAGCUAUGUCAUAGGCCAUACAUACCAGCAGGACUUCAUGGUAACAGUGGCAUUAAUAAGUUACAGGUUGCUCAUAGAGUAAAGGAGAAUAUUGGAAAGUAAGCAAAAAGUGGUGGAAGCUAAGCAGUGAAAGGAAGUUUCAACUCAUACUGUAGUGAUUACAUUUAGAGAGAUGAGCAAGAAAGGAAUGAGGAGCAGAUGGAAGAGGGAAGAUAAAUCACAGAGCAAAUAUAGGUAGCUUACAAGUAAAUAGUUUAUCACUUUGAGGUAAUUAAAUGUACAUGACUAAGACCAAUUGGAAUACUAGUUUUUUUUGUGUAGAAAAUUAUGGUGAGUUACUAUAGAGAUGUAGUUCUAACAGUGAAACUCCAAACACAGUAUCCCUAACCUGCCUAAUUUUUUUUUUUUUGAGAAUCUGUGUAACAGUAUAUAUCUGCAAUUACAAUGCUAGUAAGUAAAUUGAAAAAUUUUACUUUCCUACAUGAAGAAAAACAGAAAAAAAAUCUUAUGACAAAGGGAACAAUGCUUAAAUAAUCUCUGAUUUUGAGAGUAGUAUUUUAUGGAUCUUUCAAGUCUGAUAACUUCAGUGUGUCAAUGAUUUUGAGUCUUUAUACAUUUUCAAAAUCUAAGCCAAGCUUUUGAAAAAGCUUUCAAAGCUAUCAUUUCAUUUUUUCCUCAUCAAUAGAAGAACCACUUGCAGGGAAGAAGAGAAAUCUCUCUUGUUUAAGAAAACUACUUAGAUAAAUUUAAUCUAUUUAAGGAAAGAUUUUUAUUUAAGGAAAGAUUUUUUUGUGGCUUUUUAUUGCUUAAUUUGCCCUUUUUGUAAGUCAGGGUUUGAAUUUUAGUUUGAAGAUUCCUAUAUAUUUUCUGAAGGACAGUUACUGUUUGCAGUUUACAAAGGAAAUGUCAAAUUUAAGAGGCAAAUGCUGUGGUUAUCUGGCAACUACAGCAGUUUAAGAAAGUGCCAAAUUAACUUUAGAAGCAAUUGAACAGAGUGUAGUGGUUCUGACUGGAGUAUUGUGUGGGCAACACCUCCAGAAGAUCUCAGUUGUUUGACUUACCCAAAAGAUAGCAGCAGCUUUGGAAGCAGGCUGGUUUUUGCCACAAAGUUAAUGCCCCACAUUAAGAGAAUAGUGUUACUUACAAAACUGGUCUUUUUUGCACUGUAAAAAAUUAUCUCUCUCUUUUCUCCCUUGCUUGUACAAGGCUAUGAGACCAAAAAGAGUACUCAUAACAUCAAAUGUACAAGGCAGAAAAUUCUGGAGAUGCCUUUUAUCCCAGUUUGCCUGUGUACUAAAGAGAACUACCUUCUAUUCAAUCAUUGCUGACUGGGUUUGACGGUACAGAAGGGGGUAAAGCUAAAGAAAGGAAAAAUUGAACUUAUUAUCCUGUUGAGCUUUAGCAAGACAGCCAACCCAUCCUUCAUGAGCUUAGAAAAGCAAACUGUUCACAGACAAUCCACAACAGCAAGCAUCUGAGGAAAAUGUAUAUUGGCUUGUGGCAAUGAAAACUAGAACACAGAUGCCCUUGGUUCAUAGAAAUGAGUAGAAAGAAAAGAAAAAGCUGCAAGAGCAGAAAGAGCUCUGAUUCCAGAGAAUAUGCACAGUUGUCACCCAUUUGUAAAUGCCAGCAAAGUGUAGGAAGCCUUGAAAAUAAAGCACAUGAGGCUCUGUCUCACUUCACAGAGCCACUGGAUGUAAAGGGUGCUGAAGCAAAUGGAAAAGAUCAUGAAAACAAGAAUCAGAGUAGCUCAGAUGCUUCUGAAGAGAGAGACCUAGAUAAUGUAUCAGACAGUGAAAAAGAAGGGAAGAAGGAAAAGAACUACCCUCGUGAAGUGUUCUCACCUCAGCAAGAUGAAAUCCUAGCCACAGUAACUUUCAGUGAGUCAGAGGGCUCAUCCAAAGGAAAAAUUACACUGUGGGGCAAGCCAGAUUCUUCAGACUCCAUUAGCUUGGCCACUGGAAAAAUUUCUGCAGAAGUAAAAUAUGGCUCUUUUAAUGUGAAAGUAGAAAUUAAGAAUAUUUCUUUGUUUGAUUCUGGAACAAAAGUUGUGGAUGAAAAAAGGAAAAGUUCAAAGAACAGGAAACAUCAUGAAAGACAAUGCCAGAAAAGUCAGUGUUCAAAAUAUUCAAAGUACCAGUGCCCUUCAACUGACCAUUCAGCAGAACACAGGGGGAAACAUAAAGCAUCCACUAAACAUAAAAUUCAAACUGCCAUCAAUGGAAGUGCCUCCCUGGAAAUGAACAUUGAAACAAAAGACAUUCAAGUGGAAUAUAACAGCAGAAAGAAAAAUCUGAAUGUUAGCAUCAAAGCUGGUGAGCAGGCACAGAGCAAGCCACUCAACAAGGAGCGCAGAGAUACAUAUUGGAGUGAAACAGAUUAUCCUGUUACAGAGGCACUGUAUAACACAGACUGUGACUCAUCAUUUAGCUUUCAUGAAAAAGAAGAUUAUGCAUUUUCAGAUGGAUAUACACUUCUCCCCCCACCUAAAGAAUUUGCUGAUUGUGACAAAAUGCACCUGGAUACAAUUGUAGAAGGUGUAUCUUCGUACCCUGUUAAUAGCGAAAAGGAAUCUGACAAUCUUACUACAGCCUUGAGUAUUUGGGGGGAAGAAAAUUGUUUCUGUAAACUUAACACAGAGGACUAUGAAGAACACACCAAUGAAAAGGAAGAUUUUUCAAAGGAUCCAAUACUUUUCUCAAAAAUAAAUAAUUCUAAUUGUCUUGUAGCUAUUAAUACCUUGCAUAAUCUAAACAAUGGGAAAGAAUGUGUUAGUAAGAGAAAUUUAUUAGGUCAAGAAAAAAAUAACCGUGACAAACACAGAGACGCAGGCCCAAAAACAGCAAGAAGAAAGUCUUUCCCAGAUACUAUCCUGGAUUUACCAUCACCAGUUCACCCUAGAAGGGAUUCUGGCUUUUACUCGCUGCCGUCCUUAAAUGUAUUGCUUAAGGAGACCAAAGCAGGAGA